rnacentral:rRNA from 1 species
UACAGAGGGUGCAAGCGUUAUUCGGAAUUACUGGGCGUAAAGGGUGCGUAGGCGGAUUCGUAAGUCAGGGGUGAAAGCCUAGGGCUUAACGACGGAAUUGCCUAUGAUACUGUAUAUCUUGAGUGGGGAAGAGGUCAGUAGAAUGCAGCAUGUAGAGGUGAAAUGCGUAGAUAUGAGACAGAACACCGAUUGCGAAGGCGGCUGGCUGGGCCUAUACUGACGCUGAGGCGCGAAAGCGUGGGGAGCAAACAGG